GGAUCCAGACUUUGAUCAUGGCUCAGGACGAACGCUGGCGGCGCGCCUAACACAUGCAAGUCGAACGAGCGAGAGAGAGCUUGCUUUCUUGAGCGAGUGGCGAACGGGUGAGUAACGCGUGAGGAACCUGCCUCAAAGAGGGGGACAACAGUUGGAAACGACUGCUAAUACCGCAUAAGCCCACGACCCGGCAUCGGGUAGAGGGAAAAGGAGCAAUCCGCUUUGAGAUGGCCUCGCGUCCGAUUAGCUAGUUGGUGAGGUAAUGGCACACCAAGGCGACGAUCGGUAGCCGGACUGAGAGGUUGAACGGCCACAUUGGGACUGAGACACGGCCCAGACUCCUACGGGAGGCAGCAGUGGGGAAUAUUGCACAAUGGGGGAAACCCUGAUGCAGCGACGCCGCGUGGAGGAAGAAGGUCUUCGGAUUGUAAACUCCUGUUGUUGAGGAAGAUAAUGACGGUACUCAACAAGGAAGUGACGGCUAACUACGUGCCAGCAGCCGCGGUAAAACGUAGGUCACAAGCGUUGUCCGGAAUUACUGGGUGUAAAGGGAGCGCAGGCGGGAAGACAAGUUGGAAGUGAAAUCCAUGGGCUCAACCCAUGAACUGCUUUCAAAACUGUUUUUCUUGAGUAGUGCAGAGGUAGGCGGAAUUCCCGGUGUAGCGGUGGAAUGCGUAGAUAUCGGGAGGAACACCAGUGGCGAAGGCGGCCUACUGGGCACCAACUGACGCUGAGGCUCGAAAGUGUGGGUAGCAAACAGGAUUAGAUACCCUGGUAGUCCACACUGUAAACGAUGAUUACUAGGUGUUGGAG
rnacentral:rRNA from 1 species